rnacentral:rRNA from 1 species
GACGAACGCUGGCGGCGUGCUUAACACAUGCAAGUCGAACGGAAAGGCCCUGCUCUUGCUCCGUGCUCGAUUGCCGAACACGUGAGUAACACGCGAGUAUCCUGUCCCUGUCUUUCGGGUAACUUCAGGAAAAUCCGGCUCAUACCGGGUAUGAUCUCCUGCUCCAUGGUGGGGGUUGGAGAGUUUCGGCGGUUGGGGAUGGACUGGCUGCUUACCCGCUUGUUUGUGGGGUAGGUGCUGACCAAGGUUGUGACGGGUAGCCGGCCUGGGAGGGGUACCGGCGACAGUAGGACUGAGAUACGGCGCAGACUGCUACGGGAGGCAGCAGGGGGGAACAUGGCGCAGUGGGCGGAAGCCUGAGGCAGCAACGUCGGGUGCGGGAUGACGGCCUUCGGGUGGUAAACCGCUUUCGCCUGUGACGAAGCGGGAGUGACGGUAAUGGGUAAAGAAGCAACGGCUAACUACGUG